GGAAUAUUGGUCAAUGGGGGCAACCCUGAACCAGCCAUGCCGCGUGCAGGAAGACGGCCCUACGGGUUGUAAACUGCUUUUAUACGGGAAUAAAUCACGCUACGUGUAGGGUGUUGAAUGUACUGUAAGAAUAAGGAUCGGCUAACUCCGUGCCAGCAGCCGCGGUAAUACGGAGGAUCCAAGCGUUAUCCGGGUUUAUUGGGUUUAAAGGGUGCGUAGGCGGCCUAUUAAGUCAGGGGUGAAAGACGGUGGCUCAACCAUCGCAGUGCCCUUGAUACUGAUGGGCUUGAUUACACUUGAGGUAGGCGGAAUGUGACAAGUAGCGGUGAAAUGCAUAGAUAUGUCACAGAACACCAAUUGCGAAGGCAGCUUACUAAGGUGUUAAUGACGCUGAGGCACGAAAGCGUGGGGAUCAAACAGGAUUAGAUACCCUGGUAGUCCACGCCCUAAACGAUGAAUACUCGAUGUUAGCGAUAUACAGUUAGCGUCAAAGCGAAAGCGUUAAGUAUUCCACCUGGGGAGUACGCCCGCAAGGGUGAAACUCAAAGGAAUUGACGG
rnacentral:rRNA from 1 species